UACGUAGGGGGCAAGCGUUGUCCGGAUUUAUUGGGCGUAAAGAGCGUGUAGGCGGCCAUGUAGGUCCGUUGUGAAAACUCGAGGCUCAACCUCGAGACGCCGAUGGAAACCAUGUGGCUAGAGUCCGGAAGAGGAGAGUGGAAUUCCUGGUGUAGCGGUGAAAUGCGCAGAUAUCAGGAGGAACACCGGUGGCGAAGGCGGUUCUCUGGGAAUGUCCUGACGCUGAGGAGCGAAAGUGUGGGGAGCGAACAGG
rnacentral:rRNA from 1 species